ensembl:lncRNA
CUUUUCUCGUUGCUCUUCACCCAGACUGCUUGUUUUCUGUCCUUCCUACGUGGAAAUGCCUCUCUGCUCCUGAGAGGGAUAUAAGAUUUCCUUCACUCUCCUGAGCUGCUCUACCUAAGAGUGAGGAAUGGGAGGCAGAACCAUAGGGGAAGAUUCUUCUGGGCCUUGAUGGAGUUCCAGAGAAGAAAGAAACGUCUUUCCUGGGAAGGAAAACAUUGGCAGCAUGAAUUAUUGCCAAUACCAACUGUUGAGAAAAAGACAAACAAUGAGGCAGAUUUCAACAAACUAGAGAUUAAAAGCGUGCCUCUGGAUUGUGUUAAUGGCCUCCUGCUGCUUCAGCUUGCUGUGUAGGGAAGGGCUGGAGCUGUGUGGGAAGGGAUGGACUAGUUGUUACCUUUAAUGGCUUUCUUUAUCUAUCACAAGGAUUGAAAGUGUUGUUUUGAAAAUUGGAAGCCGAUGGUCUUACUCAGUCCUCUGUCUUCAGGACCUGCAGUAAAAAAUUUAAAGAUAUUUAACCACUGGAUGAAAUGUGCCUGGGCACCCCGACAGAGACCAGAAAUGCACAAUAAAGAACAAUGCUUCUGUCGUGAAGAUUCCAACCAGACCUCUGAUUUUCAAACUCCUUUUUUAAAAAACAAUGAAGUUGAAGAAGAAAGCGGAGUGUCUUUGUUUCAGGACAAGGAACGCAGGCAGAACCCAAAAGCCUCAUCAAAACCUGUGUGUCUAUUCAAAAAAGGCAUUUGCAGCUUUCCUGAAAUUGUGCUUUUAUUCUUUGCAAACACAUUUCUGGAAUACUAAAAAAGCAUCUUGGCAUAAUAAGCAACCAACAGAGUGAAUUUUCCCAGCCAUAAAGCCUGGAUCAGCUCAUGGGCAAGAAAUAAGGCCAUGUGAUCUCACUGACCAGCCAUAAGGCAGGAAAAUUGGAAAGGCUGCAGAAAGCUCAGGGUGGAAAUCGGCUCAGAUAUAUCCUGUAAAUCUUUAAACAGUUGUUUGAGCCAUGAGCUGUAAACUCUGCACAGACCAUUUGUAGAAGGAAAUGUGCUUUAUCAGGCAAAUUACUCAUAGCAUAACUUGACCUCCUCUCUUUGCCUUUUGGA